UUCUCUUUUCUUUAAGCCUCAAGAAACCAAGAGUUUAUGAGGCAUUGAUAGCUGGACUAUUAUAGUGCACUUCAAUUUUAACUAUCCUUGAUUUCUAUCUUCUUCCAGGAAAAUGUUACUAAUUCAUGGUUAAAUGGGGCCAUGAGCAGAGAUAAUUUUUUCCCUUUAUUGUGAAGGGAAACAAAGUUUCUACAGAAAUUUGAGUUUUGAGAAUAUUGGAUUUAGAGUACAUUUUGGGGUAGAAAACUAUGGAAUUUUGAGCAGCUGAACACUGCACUGCCUUUAUUAACCACUCCAAAUGGAAGAGUAGAUACAGCAUAGAGGAUAGAUAUAGAAUUUUCCUAGGGCUUCAGACAAUGAGUUUACAAUGCAUUUGGGGAUCUUAAAUGAUGCACAAUUUAUGCUUGAAGUUUCUGUAACUCUAAAGUACAUGAAUGAGGCUACUGGGUGGUCAACCAAGAGUGGUGUGUAGUAAGAAUUCCAUUCAUUGUGUAUUAAUAGCAUCAUGAUUAUAACUGCCUUACCCUCUUGUUUAUUUCAUAAUCUAUUUCUGGACCAGUAGAUUUGGAGGUUCACCAGAUUUGCAGUCCUGUCAGCACUGACUUGGGUAAUGAGAGCAAAGCAGGUUAAUCCAAAUGAUUCAACUGAGCAACCGAUGUGGGGUUGAAAAUAAAUAAGUCCAAGUCUACUGGAAGCCUACCUGAAAGUGAUGGCUGCAUAGCAUAGACAAUUUCUGGGAUAGGUGUAAAGAAUUGGAGAGUGGAGGAGUGGCCUGAUAUGGGGAUUCACAGGAGAAGCUUAUGGUAAAAUGAGUGUCCAUAAAAAAAAAAGAUAUUCAUUCAUUAUUCAUUCCCUCAACAAGCUUUAAUUAGGCCCCUACCUUGUGCUUGGCAUGGGUGGGGCAGCAUUGUGUGGUAAGAUUAUUUUCGGGGCUACAGACUUGAGAACGUGCUCAAUGGUGGUAGGGAUGUGGUCAAAAAGACCUCAGUUUGAAUCCUGGGUUCACUUUUUAGCUGUAUGACCUUGGAUCAGUCACUUAAAAGCUCUGAGUCUGUAUAAUGGAAAUAACAACUCUGAGGUCAAGGGAUUUCUGUGAAGACUAAAUGAGAUGAUACCCCGAAAGCAGCUGACAUAGUACCUGGCCCAUUAAAGGCAUUCAACAACAUAGGUUUCUCUCCCCAGCUCCCAGGAAAGGGAAAGAGGAAGGGAAGAAGGUAUCCUAGGAAGAUAGAUUGGCUCUGGGGCAAUGGGGUUCCUCGAGUCUGUGUCAGCAUCUGCCUGUGGUGCUUGUUGGCAAAUACUCCACAUUUCCCAUGAAAUACAUAAGCCACGUUC
rnacentral:lncRNA from 1 species